rnacentral:piRNA from 1 species
UCAAACAUGUCUUGAUGAACUAAUCCUUC